rnacentral:misc_RNA from 1 species
GAAAGGAGGAGACUUUUAGAGAGAGAGUAGGGGAUGGGAAGUGUAGGAGAAAUUGAGGAAAUAGAGAAGUGGGUUUCACCAGCUGCAGCCAAAAGAUCAAUGCCUAUUCUGUCUUUAAACCAUGUCUCAUUUGUUUGCAAAUCUGUUCCUGAAUCUGUAAGGUUCUAUGAGGAUGUUUUAGGAUUUGUACUCAUCAAAAGACCUUCUUCCUUCAAUUUUGAAGGAGCUUGGUUGUUCAACUAUGGAGUUGGCAUUCAUUUGCUUGAAUCAGAUAAAGUCCCAUCAAAGAAAGGUGCAAUCAA